rnacentral:misc_RNA from 1 species
GAAAUGCGAUAAGUAGUGUGAAUUGCAGAAUUCAGUGAAUCAUCGAAUCUUUGAACGCACAUUGCGCCCUUUGGUAUUCCUUAGGGCAUGCCUGUUCGAGCGUCAUCUAAACCUUCAAGCCCUGCUUGGUGUUGGGUGCCUGUCCCGCCUCCGCGCGCGGACUCACCUCAAAUCCAUUGGCGGCCCCCGCGUCGGCCACGAGCGCAGCAGAAACGCGAACUCGUGAGCCCGUCCGGGCGGCUCCCAGAAGCUACACACACCCAGUUUGACCUCGGAUCAGGUAGGGAUACCCGCUGAACUUAAGC